rnacentral:rRNA from 1 species
UAAAAUUUAUAAAAUUAGGUAGUAAAGAAAUUUCCGAAACCUAAAGAAUUUGGCGGUAUUUUAAAUAAUUGGAGGAACCUGUUAUUUAAUUGACAAUCCACAACAUAUCUUACCUAAAUUUUAUUUGUAUAUCGUCGUUUUGAUAAUAUUUAAAAAUAAUAAUCAAUUUUAAUAAAUUUUUAAAAUUCAGAUCAAGGUGCAGUAUAUUUAGGUUAUAAUGGGUUACAAUAUAUUUAUAUAAAAUGAAUAUAAAAUUGAAAUUAUAUUGAAGGUGGAUUCAAAAGUAAGAUUAAAUUAAAAAGUUAAUCUGAUUAAUAAUUUAAAAUAUGC